CAACUACUGCCUCUGUCCCAAAUUUCUUGUCUUAGAUUUGUCUAGAUACAGAUGUAUCUAAUACUAAAAUGUGACUUGAUACAUCCGUAUCUAGACAAGUCUAAGACAAGAAUUUUGGGACGGAGGGAGUACUUU
rfam:Triticum aestivum genome assembly, contig: Triticum_aestivum_CS42_TGACv1_scaffold_423517_5BS